CCCGCCCGCCUGCCUCCGAUGUGGGGGAGGGGUGGCGUGCACUAAAUAUAGAUUUCAAGGACUUGCUGGGGCAAAGAUUGCCCGCGCCGGCCGGUCGGGCCUCCCGAGCUGGACGGGGCUCCUCCGGGCCCUUUCUUUGCGGGGCGGUGCCGGGAGCUGGGGAAGGUUUGGAGAGGGACGCUCUGACGGAGUCAGGAGGCCGUUGUCCCGGGACACAAAAGGCUGGCCGGAGACAGUGCCCUGUGGUGUCAUCUGGCUUGGGACUGCUGCUGUGUGCCCUGGGACCAAGCACCUACCCUGAGCCCGGUGGAUCCAGCCCUGCGCAUCCAGAGAGGAAGCACGCGGUCCUCCUGGAGUUUCAGAUGUGCAAAGCGUAGGGAUGGGAGGGGGCUGAGCGUGUCAGGGUUGGAGGAACUGAGAGACUGGCGUGGCUGCAGCCCAGAGGACCCGCCCAGGACAGGAAGAAGCAAAAAACCAACAGAACGAAACAAAACGCCAUUGAGCACAGUGGAAACACCACUUUCAAUGAGGUUGUGGACAUCGCCCCACAGUCAUGUCACCGAUCUUUAGCUAGAGAACCCUCUGGAAGCAUCAAAGAGGUCCUGGGAUGGCCCAGUCUGUGGGCUGCCACCCUGAUGGCCGCCGCACUCGUGACGUCACAGGUGACAUCACAGAUGACCUCCGCAGUGGCACGCGCUGUGGGCCACCCAGCUAGUGAACAGCUACGGACAGAACUAUGUCAGUUCAAGGUCAUUUGAUAAUAAAUGCACAUAUUUGGUUUUCCUCACAUUUCCAUUUAGUUCCCACUUUGAGUGGUGUGAC